rnacentral:rRNA from 1 species
UAGAGGUUGAUCCUGGCUCAGGAUGAACGCUAGCUACAGGCUUAACACAUGCAAGUCGAGGGGAAACGGCAUUGAGUGCUUGCACUCUUUGGACGUCGACCGGCGCACGGGUGAGUAACGCGUAUCCAACCUUCCCAUUACUGUGGGAUAACCUGCCGAAAGGCAGACUAAUACCGCAUAGUCUUCGAUGACGGCAUCAGAUUUGAAGUAAAGAUUUAUCGGUAAUGGAUGGGGAUGCGUCUGAUUAGCUUGUUGGCGGGGUAACGGCCCACCAAGGCUACGAUCAGUAGGGGUUCUGAGAGGAAGGUCCCCCACAUUGGAACUGAGACACGGUCCAAACUCCUACGGGAGGCAGCAGUGAGGAAUAUUGGUCAAUGGACGGAAGUCUGAACCAGCCAAGUAGCGUGCAGGAUGACGGCCCUAUGGGUUGUAAACUGCUUUUGUAUGGGGAUAAAGUUAGGGACGUGUCCCUAUUUGCAGGUACCAUACGAAUAAGGACCGGCUAAUUCCGUGCCAGCAGCCGCGGUAAUACGGAAGGUCCAGGCGUUAUCCGGAUUUAUUGGGUUUAAAGGGAGCGUAGGCUGGAGAUUAAGUGUGUUGUGAAAUGUAGACGCUCAACGUCUGAAUUGCAGCGCAUACUGGUUUCCUUGAGUACGCACAACGUUGGCGGAAUUCGUCGUGUAGCGGUGAAAUGCUUAGAUAUGACGAAGAACUCCGAUUGCGAAGGCAGCUGACGGGAGCGCAACUGACGCUUAAGCUCGAAGGUGCGGGUAUCAAACAGGAUUAGAUACCCUGGUAGUCCGCACA